rnacentral:miRNA from 1 species
CACACACACAUACACACACACACACACAUAUAUGUAUAUAUAUAUAUAUGUGUGUGUGUGUGUGUGUGUAUAUAUAUA